AUUUAAUCAAAUGAAUUAAGAUAGCUGAUGAAUCAAGCUAUGAGGUUUGUGUGGACCACAGUUUUCCAUCGAUACCCAGAUUUAUGACUUUCCGAAUGUUCCUGAAUGCAUCAAUCAAAUUCUACGUCACAUUCAACGGAUCUCCGUCAAUUUCCUCUGAAGUCUUGACCGACAACAGAGCAUCCUUAUCUGCAUUGUGUGUGAACGGCAGACUAUUGCGACUGGUGACUCUUUGGUGACUCUAAAGUCCUACUAGUGUUGGUGACUCCUCGGAUAUUUUACAGUUUCCUGUUGUCCAGCAUCUCUCCUCUAUCCCAUUGGCACUCUGUCUGUCCUAUACCUUGUAUCCACUCUGUCUACAAUUUGAUAACUCUAGCUUUCCUGUCAAAUCUACCCCUCUAUCUUUGAUUUUGGAAACUCUAUCUUUGUAUCCCUCUUCUAUCCCACUCUAUCUGUAUACUGAACUGAUAUUUUGAAACCUGAAUUUUGAAACCUGAAUUUUGAAACCUGAACUCUGAAACCCAAUUUUUGGUUACCUAUGGUCAUUGAUACCUGUCUGUCUGAACAGAACUCUGAGAGUCUCCACUCUCACGCUCUCUGUCUCUCCUCUGAACACUCUCACCCGGGUUAUUGGUACCUGAUCUACCUUUUUGAAUGAUCUGAGAGAUUCUCUUCUCUCACUCUCACCUCUUUCCAUCUCCUAUCAACGCAUAUAUUUAUUCGCUAUUACUCUUUUUACUAAUUUGACAAAGCAUUUGAAAUGUACUAUUAAUGAGAUUAACAAAAUUGGCCUAAACAAAGAAUUGAAAAGUUAAUUCAGAAGCUGAAAAAACACAAGCACAAAUAUUUUUGUUGUAAUUGAACUACACUUUCAUACAACGAAUUGGAUAAUUAGAUUGUGAAAAGAAAUUACACUUUAUAAUCUAAUCUGGUAGAUUUCCUGAUAUACUAUUUACAAAAGUGCAAUGAAUUAACAUAAUUUAAGACAACUGCACUCUGGUCAAUAUACAUAGGAACUAUUACAAAUCUAUAUUACAGAGAAGUGUUAUUUGCUCCUGAUCUCUGUUGCUGUGGACUUCUGUUGGUUUGUACUUAAGAGGUUUUCUUGGUGAGCCCAUAUAUUUUCACACUUAACACUGUUAACUUGAUUAGUCUAGGUACAAGGAAACCUCAUACUGCUACAUGCAUUAUACCUAAUUAAACAUAUUUUUCUUAUAAACUUA